rnacentral:rRNA from 1 species
GACGAACGCUGGCGGCGCGCCUAACACAUGCAAGUCGAACGAGCGAGAGAGAGCUUGCUUUCUCGAGCGAGUGGCGAACGGGUGAGUAACGCGUGAGGAACCUGCCUCAAAGAGGGGGACAACAGUUGGAAACGACUGCUAAUACCGCAUAAGCCCACGGCCCGGCAUCGAGCAGGGGGAAAAGGAGCACUUCGCUUUGAGAUGGCCUCGCGUCCGAUUAGCUAGUUGGUGAGGUAACGGCCCACCAAGGCGACGAACGGUAGCCGGACUGAGAGGUUGAACGGCCACAUUGGGAAUGAGACACGGCCCAGACUCCUACGGGAGGGAGCAGUGGGGAAUAUUGCACAAUGGGGGAAACCCUGAUGCAGCGACGCCGCGUGGAGGAAGAAGGUCUUCGGAUUGUAAACUCCUGUUGUUGGGGAAGAUAAUGACGGUACCCAACAAGGAAGUGACGGCUAACUACGUG